AAUGCGAUAAGUAAUGUGAAUGCAGAAAUUCAGUGAAUCAUCGAAUCUUUGAACGCACAUUGCGCCCUUGGUAUUCCGGAGGGCAUGCCUGUUCGAGCGUCAUUUCAACCCUCAAGCUCUGCUUGGUAUUGGGCGACGUCCUCUAAGGACGCGCCUCGAAGACCUCGGCGACGGCGUCUUUAGCCUCGAGCGUAGUAGUAACAUUCUCGCUUUGGAGCGCUGGACGGUGGCCGCCGGACAAUCGACCUUUGGUCCAUUAUUUCCAAGGUUGACCUCGGAUCAGGUAGGGAUACCCGCUGAACUUAAGCAUAUCAAUAAGCGGAGGAAAAGAAACCAACAGGGAUUGCCUUAGUAACGGCGAGUGAAGCGGCAAUAGCUCAAAUUUGAAAGCUGGCGUCUUCGACGUCCGCGUUGUAAUUUGUAGAGGAUGCUUCGGCGAGGACUCCUGCCUAAGUCCCCUGGAACGGGGCGUCACAGAGGGUGAGAAUCCCGUACGUGGCGGGCGGUCCGAGCCAUGUGAAGCUCCUUCGACGAGUCGAGUUGUUUGGGAAUGCAGCUCUAAAUGGGAGGUAAAUUUCUUCUAAAGCUAAAUAUUGGCCAGAGACCGAUAGCGCACAAGUAGAGUGAUCGAAAGAUGAAAAGCACUUUGGAAAGAGAGUUAAAAAGUACGUGAAAUUGUUGAAAGGGAAGCGCUUGCAACCAGACUCGCUCGCAGUUGCUCAGCCGGCCUCUUGGCCGGUGUACUCUUCUGCGAUCGGGCCAGCAUCAGUUCGGGCGGCCGGAUAAAGGUGUCGGGAAUGUAGCACCCUUCGGGGUGUGUUAUAGCCCGGCGCGGAAUGCGGCCAGCCUGGACUGAG
rnacentral:misc_RNA from 1 species